UCCCCCAUCUAUCGAAAUCCCUAAUCAGUUAGAGCCAAAGAGAGCAUUUCGUCGAUUUCUUACCCCGAUUCCUCGAUUGGUUUUUUUAGUUACAAGGAAAAGCUUUAGUUUUUCGAUUUCUUGCAAACUUACAUAACCCACACAGAGAAGACAAAGAAGGUGGUAGUCGGAUUCUGUUUUUUGGUGAAUCAGUAUUUAAGGGUUUUUUCGUGGCUUUUUUUUGUCUUCAUCAUUGUCAAGGUACUGUAAUGCUUUCAUUUCUUUUAUAUUGGGAAUGCGCACAUUGCUUUCUUGACGGUGUUGGAUGAAUUUUAGGGUUUUCUGAAGUGAAAUAGUCUUCUCUGUGUAUAGGGUUUUCUGAUUGUUGAUUUUUAAAAAGACAUUAUUCAUAAUCUGGUUUGGCACAUUAGUUAAGCAUAUGAGUUUCUUCAGUUGAGAGAUUUACGAAUUGCACAUUUAAGCAUAAUCUGGUUUGGCACAUCAUUUGCACUUUUAAGCAUAAUCUGUUUUUGGUGGCCCGUCAACUGCUUUCCCUGACAUACAACAUUAGAAUUCUAUGUUAUAUACACUUUGAACCUUUUUGCAUUCAGCAUUGACUUGAAAACUGGGAAUCUAAGCUCAGAAAUUGUGAAUGGAUCAAGUGGCACCUCAUACCCUGACAUGCAACAUUAGGAUUCAAUGUUAUAUACACUUUGAACCUUUCUGCAUUCAGCAUUGACUAGAAAACUAAGAAUCUAAGCUCAGAAAUUGUGACGGUAUCAAGUGGCACCUCAUAUAGCAUGCAUCAAAUGUUAUUUUGAUUUGUAUCUUGUCUCCCUCAUCCAUAGGCAUAUGAUGUAUUCUAAAGAAUCAUUCAGUUUUUGGGUGUUUUUCACCAUUCAUAUUUGUGGUUGGUUAUAAUAGACAUUGAAUGGUUCCUCAUUAAUUUAAAAAAUUUUCAGGGAGUGCCUUAAGCUUAUUCCACACGAGAAGUUUUCUUUUGCAAAUGUUAUAAUAGACGUUGAAUGUUUUUCACCAAUCUCUCUCGGGUUCGGAUCUCUGAACCCACCAAUCGUAUCUACAAGCAAGAAUGCUGCCUCUCCUUCGAUUCUCCGAGGUCAGAAGGAGGAUUAUUUGUUGUUAAUUGGUUGUUUUUUUAAUUAAUC